rnacentral:rRNA from 1 species
GGGGAAAAUUAAUAAUUUAAAUUUAAUAAAAAAAAUUUUAAUAUUAAAAAGAAAAAUGGGGGUUUAAGUAUUUUUAAUAGAAAAAAUUAAUAAUUUUAUAGUUAAAUAUUACUGUAAAGGAAUUUAUAAAUAAAUGAAAUAUAAUUAAUGAAAAAGUAAAUUUAAAUUAUUGUAUCUUGUGUAUCAGAGUUUAUUAAAUAAUAAUAAUUUAUUUAAAUAAAUCUCGAAUUUAAAAGAGUUAAUUAGUUAAAAAAGUUAAUGUUGUAUAAUUAUUUUAAAUAACUAAUUGGAAAUGAAAUGUUAAUCGUUUUUAAAUAUAUCUAGUUUUUUCAGAAAAAAAUUUAAUUUUAAAUUUAAAUAAUUUUAUAAUUAUUUAAUUAAUUAUAAAAAUUUAAAUUUUAAUAUUUUAAGGGAUAAGCUUUAAAUUAAAAAUUUAUAAUUAAUAAAUAAUUAAAAUUAAAAUUUUUAAAAUUUAUAUUGUUUAAAAAUUAUAGUUUAUUAUAAAAAAUUUUAUUAAAAAAUAAAAUUUAAAAUAAAAAAAUUUAAAUUUUUAUGAAAAAAUAAUUUAUAAUUUAAUAAAAUUAGAAAUAAUGAUAAAAUUAGUAUAAUAUAAUAAAUUAAAAAAAAAAUUAUAAAGAAAUAAGUUAAAGGAAUUCGGCAAAUUUUUAUAUUCACUUGUUUAUCAAAAACAUGUCUUUUUGAUAAUAAUUUAAAGUCUAAUCUGCCCACUGAUAAUAUAUUAAAGGGCUGCAGUAUAUUGACUGUACAAAGGUAGCAUAAUCAUUAGUCUUUUAAUUGAAGACUUGUAUGAAAGAUUUGAUGAAAUAUAAACUGUCUCUAAUUUAUGUUUAGAAAUUAAUUUUUUAGUUAAAAAGCUAAAAUAAUAUUAAAAGACGAGAAGACCCUAUAGAGUUUUAUAUUUUAUUUAAUUAAUGUUAAAUAUAUAAUUAAAUAUAUUAAUUAAAUAAAAUAUUUUGUUGGGGUGAUAAAAAAAUUUAAUAAACUUUUUUUUAAGUUUAAACAUAAAUAAGUGGUUAAUUGAUCCAUUAAUAAUGAUUAAAAGAAAAAAUUACCUUAGGGAUAACAGCGUAAUAUUUUUUUUUAGUACAUAUAAAAAAAAAAGUUUGCGACCUCGAUGUUGGAUUAAGAUAAAAUUUAAAUGCAAAAGUUUAAAAUUUUGAUCUGUUCGAUCAUUAAAAUCUUACAUGAUCUGAGUUCAAACCGGUGUAAGCCAGGUUGGUUUCUAUCUUUAAUAAAAAAAAAUAUUUUAGUACGAAAGGAUCAAAUAUUUAAAAUAAUUUUAUUUAAAUGAAUAUUAAUAAUAAUAGUUUA